rnacentral:rRNA from 1 species
UACGGGGGGAGCAAGCGUUAUCCGGAAUGAUUGGGCGUAAAGGGUCCGCAGGUGGCAGUGUAAGUCUGCUGUCAAAGAAUGAGGCUUAACCUCAUCAAGGCAGUGGAAACUACACAGCUAGAGUACGGUCGGGGUAGAAGGAAUUCCUGGUGUAGCGGUGAAAUGCGUAGAGAUCAGGAAGAACACCGGUGGCGAAAGCGUUCUGCUAGACCUGUACUGACACUGAGGGACGAAAGCUAGGGGAGCGAAUGGG